rnacentral:rRNA from 1 species
UGGGGAAUAUUGGACAAUGGACCGAGAGUCUGAUCCAGCAAUUCUGUGUGCACGAUGACGUUUUUCGGAAUGUAAAGUGCUUUCAGUUGGGAAGAAAAAAAUGACGGUACCAACAGAAGAAGUGACGGCUAAAUACGUGCCAGCAGCCGCGGUAAUACGUAUGUCACGAGCGUUAUCCGGAUUUAUUGGGCGUAAAGCGCGUCUAGGUGGUUAUAUAAGUCUGAUGUGAAAAUGCAGGGCUCAACUCUGUAUUGCGUUGGAAACUGUGUAACUAGAGUACUGGAGAGGUAAGCGGAACUACAAGUGUAGAGGUGAAAUUCGUAGAUAUUUGUAGGAAUGCCGAUGGGGAAGCCAGCUUACUGGACAGAUACUGACGCUGAAGCGCGAAAGCGUGGGUAGCAAACAGGAUUAGAUACCCUGGUAGUCCACGCUGUAAACGAUGAUUACUAGGUGUUGGGGGUCGAACCUCAGCGCCCAAGCAAACGCGAUAAGUAAUCCGCCUGGGGAGUACGUACGCAAGUAUG